UCUUCAUUUUUGACUACCAAGUACUUAUGAUCCGGUCUUAUUAUACAUAUACUACCAUUUACAGCUAGCUACUUGAUCCAUAAUUCAAUUAAUUACCAUUGUUUUCUUUUUUCUUUUCUCUUUAUUACUCACUAACUCAUUAAUAUUAUUAUUAAAUAUUUGCUAAACGCAUUUAAUUUUCCACUCGUCUUCUUCUUCUUCUUAAUAAUGAGCCACUAUUGCUAUUACUAUGACUCUUUCUCUCUCUUUCUUUUUUUUUCUUAUUUUUCAAAAAUAAAGAUAAGAAUUAAAAGACGAAAUUGGGUUUGAGAUUUCUUUAAUUUUCGAUUCACAAGGUGAUACUCGUAUUGUCUAAUCUGCUUAAAUAUACUUUUUAACUCGUUUUCUUUAAUUAAGUACUAUAUACUAUUUUUAUGUGUAAUAAGUUCAUAUAAAAUCAACUAAUUAAGUUUAGGGUUCCCUAAGCUCUAAUGUUAGCUUGCUUUAUAGAUAUUUUGUUGAUGAGCUUAGGAUUGAAUUGAAUUCGAUAUAUAUUAUUAGCAAAGCUUCAAAUCUAUAUCUCUAUAUCUCUCUCUCUCUCUCUAACACAAUACACAUACUUAAUAAUAAGUAAUAAUAAUAAUAAUAAUAAUAACAAGGGAAGGGUUGUAAUUUAGUUCGAUUCCUAUCCAUACUUUAAUUAUGAAUUAAAGGCACCCUUCCUCUCUUGAAAGUUGAAGUUCUUCUCUAUAUAAUGAGCUUCACAUGAACUAACUAUUCCCCAUUUCUCAACUCCCUCUGCUCUGCUCUCUUCUCUUCUCUUCUCUUCUCUUCUUUUUCUUAUAUCUCCAUCGAUCCCUCAUUAAUUCAUAUAUCUUCUUGCUCUUCUCUCUUAGCUUGCUCUAACAUACCGCGAAGGAGUUCUAAUUCUAAGUAAUUAAAGCAAAAGGAAGAAAAAUGAGUAGGAGAAACAGAGGAAACAACAGCAACAAUGAUCAGCAGGAGUUGGAUUUGAAGCUGAAUCUGUCAGUGGCUGAAACAGCCACAAGAGUAGUAAGAAGACAGAGGAGGAUGUCAACGUCUUCAUCGGAAGAGUCAGAGUCUCCAACACGUUCAUGUGUUUCUUCUGAAGAAAGUCUAAAAUAUUCAAGCAGUCCAGAAGCAACUUCAAUGGUGCUUGUUGGAUGUCCAAGGUGUCUCAUGUAUGUCAUGCUUUCAGAAGCUGAUCCUCGCUGCCCAAAGUGCAAGAGCACUGUACUCCUCGAUUUCCUCCGCAACCAAAAGUAACCAAUCCUUAGCUUGCUUGCUAUCAUGGACGACCCGCCCACCAGUUUAUUUAAUUAAUUAUUACUAUUACUAUUAUUAUAAAUAUGGUUAGUUUGAUUAAGUUGGGGAGUAUUAGUUAGCAUUGAUUAAACUUUAAUGUGUUAGAAUCGUCGUCCUUUCAUUUGGUUUGUCUUAUAUUUAGUGGUCUUAAUUAAGUAGUAAUAGUAAUUUAGUAAUUGCUAGAGAAACAGGCUGAAACAUCAAGUCCUGUUUGGUUGCCCAUAAGACGGGAUGUACUCAGGGACUGGCUGAUCAUGCGGCUGAUGUGAGUAGGUCGUAAUACAUUCUCCCGUCUUCUCUGCAACCAAAUGGAAUUUUUUUUUUUAAUAGAAUUAUGAUUAUAACUAUAAUUAAGGAGUAUUAUUAUUAUUUUUAUUAUUUAAUAUUAUUAUUGAUGCAUCUUUUAGUUUUACCUAUUGAUGAAUUAAUUAAUUUUGAAUUUGGUUGUAGUUAUC